AAAUAUAAGGGCAAUCUGACUGCAACAUCUUUCACCUUAUUGAUCUCUAAGGUUGAUCUGGCUGGCCGCCUGGCUGAACAGGUGUCUCCAUUCUCCCUCACUGUUCCAUAUGCAUCCCCCCUGAAGCUGCAUGCUCUCUCAGUCAAAGAGGACAAUCUUCAUCACUAGAGGAAGACAGGUNNNNNNN
rnacentral:snRNA from 1 species